GACGAACGCUGGCGGCGUGCCUAAUACAUGCAAGUCGAGCGGACGAAUCGAAAGCUUGCUUUUGAUUCGUUAGCGGCGGACGGGUGAGUAACACGUGGGCAACCUGCCCUGUAGACGGGGAUAACACCGAGAAAUCGGUGCUAAUACCGGAUAACACGAAAUGUCGCAUGACGUUUCGUUGAAAGACGGCGCAAGCUGUCGCUCCAGGAUGGGCCCGCGGCGCAUUAGCUAGUUGGGGAGGUAACGGCUCACCAAGGCGCCGAUGCGUAGCCGACCGGAGGGGGGAUUCGCCACACCUGGACUUGAGAACCGGCCCGAACUCCAACGGGAGGCAGAAGUAGGGAAUCUUCCGCAAUGGACGAAGGUCUGAGGGAGCAACGCGGCGUGGGCGAAGAAGGCCUUCGGUCGUAAAGCUCUGUUGUUAGGGAAGAACAAGUAACGCAGUAACUGGCGUUACCGUGACGGUACCUAACGAGAAAGCCACGGCUAACUACGUG
rnacentral:rRNA from 1 species